UAAAGUGGAAUACAGGGACAUUGAGAUUGAUGAUUACAACCUGCCCAUGCAGAUACUGAAGCCAGCAACCUUCACCGACACCACCCACUACCCUCUGCUCCUGGUGGUGGAUGGCACCCCGGGCAGCCAGAGUGUGGCUGAGAAGUUCGAGGUGAGCUGGGAGACGGUGAUGGUGAGCAGCCAUGGCGCGGUGGUGGUAAAGUGUGACGGCCGUGGCAGCGGCUUCCAAGGGACCAAGCUCCUGCACGAAGUGAGGCGGCGGCUGGGCUUGCUGGAGGAGAAGGACCAGAUGGAGGCCGUGCGGUGAGCACCCGCCCAGGAAGCAGGAGAGGCCGGGAGGGGACAGGGCUCCUCAUGGGGGCAGCACCGCAGUCACAGUGCGGGAAUGCUUUUUCCCCAUGCGCACAUUUUGCAUGCAAUUUGCUCUUACCUAAAAUCUCCUGGCCGUUCCCAAGAAGUUUCAAAGGAAACUUAGGAAUCUUCUCCUAGGGACAUUUAUAACUAGUUUUCCCACUGCAGGGUAGAUUGUUGAGUUGACUAAAACAAGGGGAUAGAAAUUGCCGGUUGGGUUGGCUUGGCUUUUCUGCGC
rnacentral:sRNA from 1 species